UACGAAGGGGGCUAGCGUUGCUCGGAAUGACUGGGCGUAAAGGGCGCGUAGGCGGCGCAGUUAGUCAGGCGUGAAAUUCCUGGGCUCAACCUGGAGACGCCACCCGAUACUGCUGUGACUAGAGUCCGGUAGGGGAGCGUGGAAUUCCUGGUGUAGCGGUGAAAUGCGCAGAUAUCAGGAGGAACACCAGCGGCGAAGGCGGCGCUCUGGGCCGGAACUGACGCUGAGGAGCGAAAGCGUGGGUAGCAAACAGG
rnacentral:rRNA from 1 species